rnacentral:rRNA from 1 species
CCUACGGGGAGCAGCAGUGAGGAAUAUUGGUCAAUGGCCGGAAGGCUGAACCAGCCAUGCCGCGUGAAGGUCAGUGCCCUAUGGGCGUUAAACUUCUUUUGUGCGGGAGCAAUAAUGGUCACGUGUGGCCAGACGAGAGUACCGUACGAAUAAGCAUCGGCUAACUCCGUGCCAGCAGCCGCGGUAAUCCGGGGGAUGCAAGCGUUAUCCGGAUUUAUUGGGUUUAAAGGGUGCGUAGGCUGUGAGGUAAGUCAGCGGUGAAAUGCCCCCGCUCAACGGGGUGAAGGGCCAUUGAUACUGCCUGGCUGGAAUGCGGAUGCCGUGGGAGGAAUGUGUGGUGUAGCGGUGAAAUGCAUAGAUAUCACACAGAACACCGAUUGCGAAGGCAUCUCACGAAUCCGCGAUUGACGCUGAUGCACGAAAGCGUGGGUAUCAAACAGGAUUAGAUACCCUUGUAGUC